rnacentral:lncRNA from 1 species
CCAUCUCGAUGAUUAGGUCAACUCUUAACCUAAUCAGGUCAAACCCAAUUGAAUCCAAUUCAAUUGGACUUGAUCCAAAAAUAAUUACUCAAUCAAAUUGAGUUAAUUAGUGAUCAAAUUACUAAUUAAACCUUUCAUAAAUAUUGAGUUCAAAUCCGAUGGAUAAUCGGGCAUAAAAAUUUAUCGAUAUAUAACCCUGAUCGAAGAAUCCCAAACCAGUGGGACUCUUGACCUCGGUACCCAGUAUUAUAGAAAAUCUCUGAUCCCUAAGGGCAAAUCGACACGGUAAUGAUCAGGAACCUUCAAAUUAUGUUGGCAUCAAACAAG